rnacentral:rRNA from 1 species
AGAGUUUGAUCCUGGCUCAGGAUGAACGCUAGCGGCAGGCUUAAUACAUGCAAGUCGAGGGGCAGCGGGGGUAGCAAUACCUGCCGGCGACCGGCAAACGGGUGCGGAACACGUACACAACCUUCCUUUAAGUGGGGGAUAGCCCAGAGAAAUUUGGAUUAAUACCCCGUAACAUUAGUAGAUGGCAUCAUUUACGAAUUAAAGCUACGGCGCUUAGAGAUGGGUGUGCGUCUGAUUAGGUAGUUGGUUGAGGUAACGGCUCACCAAGCCUUCGAUCAGUAACUGGUGUGAGAGCACGACCAGUCACACGGGCACUGAGACACGGGCCCGACUCCUACGGGAGGCAGCAGUAAGGAAUAUUGGUCAAUGGACGCAAGUCUGAACCAGCCAUGCCGCGUGGAGGAUGAAGGUCCUCUGGAUUGUAAACUUCUUUUAUCUGGGAAGAAAUGCAUUUUUUCUAAAGUGUUUGACGGUACCAGAAGAAUAAGCACCGGCUAACUCCGUGCCAGCAGCCGCGGUAAUACGGAGGGUGCAAGCGUUAUCCGGAUUCACUGGGUUUAAAGGGUGCGUAGGUGGGCAUUUAAGUCAGUGGUGAAAUCUCCGGGCUUAACCCGGAAACUGCCAUUGAUACUAUGUGUCUUGAAUACCGUGGAGGUGAGCGGAAUAUGUCAUGUAGCGGUGAAAUGCUUAGAUAUGACAUAGAACACCAAUUGCGAAGGCAGCUCACUACACGAAUAUUGACACUGAGGCACGAAAGCGUGGGGAUCAAACAGGAUUAGAUACCCUGGUAGUCCACGCCCUAAACGAUGGAUACUCGACAUACGCGAUACACAGUGUGUGUCUGAGCGAAAGCAUUAAGU